rnacentral:rRNA from 1 species
GAUGAACGCUGGCGGCGUGCCUAAUACAUGCAAGUCGACCGAACGGACGAGAAGCUUGCUUCUCUGAUGUUAGCGGCGGACGGGUGAGUAACACGUGGAUAACCUACCUAUAAGACUGGGAUAACUUCGGGAAACCGGAGCUAAUACCGGAUAAUAUUUUGAACCGCAUGGUUCAAAAGUGAAAGACGGUCUUGCUGUCACUUAUAGAUGGAUCCGCGCUGCAUUAGCUAGUUGGUAAGGUAACGGCUUACCAAGGCAACGAUGCAUAGCCGACCUGAGAGGGGGAUCGGCCACACUGGAACUGAGCCACGGUCCAGGCUCCUACGGGAGGCAGCAGUAGGGAAUCUUCCGCAAUGGGCGAAAGCCUGACGGAGCAACGCCGCGUGAGUGAUGAAGGUCUUCGGAUCGUAAAACUCUGUUAUUAGGGAAGAACAUAUGUGUAAGUAACUGUGCACAUCUUGACGGUACCUAAUCAGAAAGCCACGGCUAACUACGUG